UUUUACCAGGGAGGCCUGGAAACCUGACCCAUCAGCAGAAAGGGAGAAGAUUACAGUGCAGUGAAGAACUGAGGAAGAGGAGUAGAAAGAAGAAGAGAAGAGACCACUGUCCGUCAUUAGCAAGCGCAUGACGACAUGUCACAGAUAAAGAAACAUCAGAUCAACGAUCGAUGACACGUGUUCACCACAGACAGGAAUGAGCUGCUGGAGGACGUGGUUCGGCUACGACUGAUCAGGGUGAGGCGCUCUGUGGACAUACUCUUCCUAAAGAACGGAGAAACAUCAGAGAAAUAAAAUUGGUGCUGCAGACGCUGUAGUGGCCAGUGGCCUCCUCCCAGGAGCAUGGACGCCCCCUAGCUGCAUCAUCUGGCUUUGCUCCUCACAGUAGCCCAGUCUGCGCAGGGCGUCAGCCAGAGCUGCUUUGAG